rnacentral:rRNA from 1 species
AUUGAACGCUGGCGGCAGGCCUAACACAUGCAAGUCGAACGAGUGGCGGACGGGUGAGUAAUGUCUGGGAAACUGCCUGAUGGAGGGGGAUAACUACUGGAAACGGUGGCUAAUACCGCAUACCAUCAGAUGUGCCCAUAUGGGAUUAGCUGGUGGGUGGGGUAACGGCUCACCAAGGCGACGAUCCCUAGCUGGUCUGAGAGGAUGAUCAGCCACACUGGAACUGAGACACGGCCCAGACUCCUACGGGAGGAAGCAGUGGGGAAUAGUGCACAAUGGGCGCAAGCCUGAUGCAGCCAUGCCGCGUGUAUGAAGAAGGCCUUCGGGUUGUAAAGUACUUUCAGCGGGGAGGCGUUACCCGCAGAAGAAGCACCGGCUAACUCCGUGCCAGCAGCCGCGGUAAUAC